AAACCAACCGGGAUUGCCCUAGUAACGGCGAGUGAAGCGGCAAGAGCUCAAAUUUGAAAGCUGGCCCCCUCGGGGUCCGCAUUGUAAUUUGCAGAGGAUGCUUCGGGAACGGCCCCCAUCUAAGUGCCCUGGAACGGGCCGUCAUAGAGGGUGAGAAUCCCGUCUGGGAUGGGGUGGCCGCGCCCGUGUGAAGCUCCUUCGACGAGUCGAGUUGUUUGGGAAUGCAGCUCUAAUUGGGUGGUAAAUUUCAUCUAAAGCUAAAUAUUGGCCGGAGACCGAUAGCGCACAAGUAGAGUGAUCGAAAGAUGAAAAGCACUUUGAAAAGAGAGUUAAACAGCACGUGAAAUUGUUGAAAGGGAAGCGCUUGCGACCAGACUCGCCCGCGGGGUUCAGCCGGCACUCGUGCCGGUGUACUUCCCCGCGGGCGGGCCAGCGUCGGUUUGGGCGGCCGGUCAAAGGCCUCUGGAAGGUAACGCCUCUCGGGGCGUCUUAUAGCCAGGGGUGCCAUGCGGCCUGCCCGGACCGAGGAACGCGCUUCGGCUCGGACGC
rnacentral:rRNA from 1 species